rnacentral:rRNA from 1 species
AACGAACGCUGGCGGCAGGCCUAACACAUGCAAGUCGAACGCCGUAGCAAUACGGAGUGGCAGACGGGUGAGUAACGCGUGGGAACCUACCUUACGGUCGGGAAUAGCUCAGGGAAACUUGGGGUAAUACCGGAUACGCCCUUACGGGGAAAGAUUUAUCGCCGUUAGAUGGGCCCGCGUAGGAUUAGCUAGUUGGUGAGGUAAUGGCUCACCAAGGCGACGAUCCUUAGCUGGUCUGAGAGGAUGACCAGCCACACUGGGACUGAGACACGGCCCAGACUCCUACGGGAGGCAGCAGUGGGGAAUAUUGGACAAUGGGCGCAAGCCUGAUCCAGCCAUGCCGCGUGAGUGACGAAGGCCUUAGGGUUGUAAAGCUCUUUUGGCAGGGAAGAUAAUGACGGUACCCGCAGAAUAAGCUCCGGCUAACUUCGUGCCAGCCGCCGCGGUAA